AAUACAGAACGAGAUGGACGACAUUAAAACCUCACAGCAAGCAGAGCCCUGUGCUCUCGUAGGCUCACAUCUGAAACAGCCUGCUCCUGACAGACACCACACAGAAACCCCAGACAGCCGUCCUCGAGAGAGAACCUGGGACGAAGCAGCACUGGCAGGAACAGACAUGUUUAUAUCUGGACUCGUCCAAGACGCCACUGAGGUGACUGGAAAACCUGGGACUGAUGGAGCAGAACAGGUCCUCCUGGGAGAGGGGUGAGUGGGGCCAGCAGGGGGCGCUCUCUCCCUGCGCUCUGUGUGGUCCUGAUGCCCCAGUCCAGUGAUGGUGAGCUAUAAAAGAGUAGGGCUGGACAGAAAGGCGCUAUAUAAGUAUAAGACUAUUAUUAGUAACCCCUAAUGACCUCUGACCUGUCCUCCUCGCCCUGAGAGCUGCUGUGUGUGAGCGCACUGGUGGGGCUCCACACUGCUGCUGCUGCAGGGGGGGUCCAGAAAGGCGCUAUAUAAGGGUGAGCAUUAAGAUCACGGAUUCCAGAGCCUUUCGGAAACAAACCCACAGGACUGGGAGCAGAAUAGGCGCUCCGUGACGAUGAUCCGGCGGGGUGAACAGGCGAAGGUUGACUCCGCGCCCGGCAGGAGAGACACCGCUGCGGGCCACCGCCGGGCCUGGGAGCUUGUGGGCGGGCAGGGGGCGCUGGGAGUGCCGGAGCCCCGCCCCGCGCUCCGAGUGGUCAGGGGCGGCCGAGUGACAGCUGCCUCGGCCAGUCAGAGCCCAGGGAGGACGCCGGGGACCGGCUGCACUCCGUCGCCGCGAGGGGGGGGCUCAACGACAGAGCGGAGAUCACCCCCCCGCCCUCAGAGUCCCCGGGGGUCUCUGGAGCCGGCGCCGGCAGCGGCCCGCUUCGGAAAGACCGCCGACCGCAGGGCAGGGCUGAGAGAUGGCGAGAGAGCGCUGGGCCCCUCCUCUCAGGGGGCGAAGGAAGAAGCUGGGUGCAGGCUGGAGGUCAGAGGUCGGAGGUCGGAGCCCAGCUCAGGGGGUGUCCAGGCACGCUGUCGUCCUCACACACUCUCUCCGGGGUGCCAGGCCAGGUCCGGCCCGGUCCGGUCGGGCUGCGGGGCUGAUCAGUGGCCCAGCAUGCACAGCACGUUCACCUGGACAGGAGAGGGGGGGGGUGGUCAGACCGCGUCUCAGCCAGAGCGGGGCGCCUGCCCUCGGGUACGGGGCGAUGGCGGCGGCUCACCUUGAUGAACGAAGACAGACGCUUCGCCGAUAUCCCCUCCAGCUGCUGCAGGUCCUCGAUCUGAACGAGACAGAGACAACACCCUGUCACAACCUGAGGAACAGUGAGCCCGUCUCUCAAUAAUAAUAAUACAGUGUGUGAUCUCCUGUCCCAGCCUGAGGAACAGACAGUGAGCCUGUCUCUCAAUAAUAAUAAUACAGUGUGUGAUCU
rnacentral:lncRNA from 1 species